GACGAACGCUGGCGGCGUGCUUAACACAUGCAAGUCGAACGGAGUGGCGAACGGGCGAGUAACACGUGGGUGACCUGCCCUGCACUUCGGGAUAAGCCUGGGAAACUGGGUCUAAUACCGGAUAGUGUGGGAUGGGCCCGCGGCCUAUCAGCUUGUUGGUGGGGUAAUGGCCUACCAAGGCGGCGACGGGUAGCCGGCCUGAUAGGGUGGACGGCCACAUUGGGACAGAGGCACGGCCCAAAAUCCAACGGGAGGCAGCAGUGAGGAAUAUUGCACAAUGGGCGGAAGCAUGAUGCAGCGACGACGCGUGGGGGAUAACGGCCUUCGGGUUGUAAACUCCUUUCACCAUAGACGCGGUAGAUGGAGAAGAAACACCGGCUAACUACGUGCCAGCCGCCGCGGUAAUUC
rnacentral:rRNA from 1 species